AAUCAACGCUGGCGGCGUGCCUCAGACAUGCAAGUCGAACGAGAACCUCCCUUCGGGGAGGGGACAGUGGCGCACGGGUGAGUAACACGUGGGUAAUUUACCUUUGGGUGGGGAACAACAGCCGGAAACGGCUGCUAAUACCGCAUAAUGCAGCGGCUCGACAUCGAGACAGUUGUUAAAGCGGGGGAUCGCAAGACCUCGCGCCUGAAGAGAAGCCUGCGGCGGAUUAGCAGUUGGUAGGGUAAUGGCCUACCAAGGCGACGAUCUGUAACCGGCCUGAGAGGGCGGUCGGUCACACUGACACUGACAUACGGGUCAGACUCCUACGGGAGGCAGCAGUCGGGAAUUUUGGGCAAUGGGCGAAAGCCUGACCCAGCAACGCCGCGUGAAGGAUGAAGCUUUUCGGAGUGUAAACUUCAUAAGAAUGGGAAGAAUAAGUGC
rnacentral:rRNA from 1 species